UUCUGCAAAAGAAGAAAGAGCAGAAGUUACCGGGGAUGCUCCCGAAUGACAACGCUGUCAACACCCACCAGCCAUCCCUAUCAAGACCUCUGGGGUUAUCUGGUCUUCAGAGGUCCACCAGCUCUUCAGCCUAAAGCUGUCAGUAUGGCAGACACUGCCUGUGCAAAGUAACACGUCACAGCAGUAUAGGACCUUAAAACAAAUGAUCAGAUAAUAAUUAGAGACACGUUGCUCUGGGACCUUUUGGCAUGGUUCCCUCUUCCAAGAGGAACAUCAUGACCUGGCCUAGAGGACGGCUGUAAGAACAAAGGCUUCCCACAGGAAGAAGUCUGCAAAAACCAACCAGCCCCCUCCCCUUUUUAGUAUAAAAGGAGCCUGAAUUCUGAUUUGGGGAAAACGGUUCUCCAGGACAUUAGUCCCCCAUCUUCUCAGUCUGCCAGCUUUCUGAGUAAAGUCAUUAUUCCUUGCCCCAACACCUCUGUCUCCCGAUUUACUGGCCUGUCGUGCAGCCAGCAGAAUGAGUUUGGACUCGGUAACGAGGUGAUGCCUAAUCUAGGGAGACCAGCUAGUCUGUUUAGACCAGCUACUCUAGUCACUUGCUAGGACUGGGGCUCUUUAGAGGCAAAAGAAAGAAACAGCUUCUCCAAGAGAGCAGCAGAUGUCUCUUUGGAAAAAAAA